CCUACGGGAGGCAGCAGUGGGGGAUAUUGGACAAUGGGGGAAACCCUGAUCCAGCGACGCCGCGUGAGUGAAGAAGUAUUUCGGUAUGUAAAGCUCUAUCAGCAGGGAAGAAAGAAAUGACGGUACCUGAGUAAGAAGCCCCGGCUAACUACGUGCCAGCAGCCGCGGGAAUACGUAGGGGGCAAGCGUUAUCCGGAAUUACUGGGUGUAAAGGGAGCGUAGACGGUAAUGCAAGUCUGGAGUGAAAGGCGGGGGCCCAACCCCCGGACUGCUCUGGAAACUGUGUAACUGGAGUGCAGGAGAGGCAGGCGGAAUUCCUAGUGUAGCGGUGAAAGGCGUAGAUAUUAGGAGGAACACCAGUGGCGAAGGCGGCCUGCUGGACUGUAACUGACGUUGAGGCUCGAAAGCGUGGGGAGCAAACAGGAUUAGAUACCCCAGUAGUC
rnacentral:rRNA from 1 species